rnacentral:rRNA from 1 species
CUCCUCUUGAAAUAUAGGAGGUACCGUCUGCUCAAUGCAAUUUGUAAAUAGCCGCAGUAUUCUGACUGUGCUAAGGUAGCAUAAUCAUUAGUCUUUUAAUUGAAGGCUGGUAUGAAUGACGAGACGAGAAAAUAGCUGUCUCUACAAUAAAUUUUGAAUUUUAUUUUUAAGUGAAAAAGCUUAAAUAAUUUUGAAGGACGAUCAGACCCUUUGGAGCUUUAUUUAUUUUAAAGUUUAAAUUGUUUUAGAUUAUUGAGUGAAAAAUAAAUUUUGUUGGGGCGACAGGGAGUGAAAAAUAACACUCUUUUUUUAAAACAAUUUUAAUUGAAAAAUUGAUCCUUAAAGAGAGAUUAAAAGACUAAGUUACCCUAGGGAUAACAGCGUAAUCUUUUUGGAGAGUUCAAAUCGAUAAAAAGGUUUGCGACCUCGAUGUUGGAUUAAGAAAUUAGCAAGGUGCAGAAGUUUUGCUGGAGAGUCUGUUCGACUCU